rnacentral:rRNA from 1 species
UGGGGAAUAUUGGGCAAUGGGGGAAACCCUGACCCAGCAACGCCGCGUGAAGGAAGAAGGUUUUCGGAUCGUAAACUUCUAUCCUUGGUGAAAAUAGUGAUGGUAGCCAAGAAGGAAGCCCCGGCUAACUACGUGCCAGCAGCCGCGGUAAUACGUAGGGGGCAAGCGUUGUCCGGAAUGAUUGGGCGUAAAGGGCGCGUAGGCGGCCUGGUAAGUUUGAAGUGAAAGUCCUUCUUUUAAGGAGGGAACUGCUUUGAAAACUGUCGGGCUUGAGUGCAGGAGAGGUAAGCGGAAUUCCCGGUGUAGCGGUGAAAUGCGUAGAGAUCGGGAGGAACACCAGUGGCGAAGGCGGCUUACUGGACUGUUACUGACGCUGAGGCGCGAAAGUGUGGGGAGCAAACA